rnacentral:lncRNA from 1 species
AGUAGGGGCGCGGUCUAAUGAUUUGAUUGGCAUCGUGUAUACACGUCUAGUAAGCAGUGGGACCAGGACAGCUGAGGGGGGUUUGAAUUUCCAACUGGGACAGCCACCGCUAAUUUACACACACGAUUACCGGUUUUCAGGGUUGACGGAUGAGUAGAUUGUAGAAGGACAGGGAGGGUUGGGGUUAACUGUCAGACACAGAGACUGUUGAUCAUUGUGUAGUAGACUGAAGGGUAGAGACUGUUGAUCAUUGUGUAGUAGACUGAAGGGUAGAGACUGUUGAUCAUUGGUGAUCAUUUUUGGUAGUAGAUGACGUGUAGAGACGUUGAUCCUUGUGUAGUAGACUGAAGGUAGAGACUGUGAUCAUUGUUGUUGUAGUAGACUGAAGGGUAAGAGGGAUGUGUUGAUCCUUGUGUAGUAGACUGAAGGUUAGAGACUGUUGAUCAUUGUGUGUAGACUGAAGGGUAGAGACUGUUGAUCAUUGGUAGUAGACUGAAGGUUAGGAGCUGUUGAUCAUGUGUAGUAGACUGAAGGGUAGAGAUUGUCAUGUUA